UUUUUGGAGAGUUUGAUCCUGGCUCAGGACGAACGCUGGCGGCGUGCUUAACACAUGCAAGUCGUACGAACGGAGGAGAGCUUGCUCUCCAAUGUUAGUGGCGAACGGGUGCGUAACACGUGAGCAACUUGCCCUUCGGUGGGGGAUAGCCGGCCCAACGGCCGGGUAAUACCGCGUAUCGCAUCGUCAUCGCAUGGUGAUGAUGUAAAAGCGGCCGUAAGGUCGCGCCGGGGGAGGGGCUCGCGGCGUAUCAGCUUGUUGGUGGGGUAACGGCCUACCAAGGCGACGACGCGUAGCUGGUCUGAGAGGAUGAUCAGCCACAUUGGGACUGAGAUA
rnacentral:rRNA from 1 species